rnacentral:rRNA from 1 species
CCUACGGGAGGCAGCAGUGGGGAAUUUUGGACAAUGGGCGCAAGCCUGAUCCAGCAAUGCCGCGUGAGUGAAGAAGGCCUUCGGGUUGUAAAGCUCUUUUGUCAGGGAAGAAACGGUAGGAGCUAAUAUCUCUUGCUAAUGACGGUACCUGAAGAAUAAGCACCGGCUAACUACGUGCCAGCAGCCGCGGUAAUACGUAGGGUGCAAGCGUUAAUCGGAAUUACUGGGCGUAAAGCGUGCGCAGGCGGUUUUGUAAGUCUGUCGUGAAAGCCCCGGGCUCAACCUGGGAAUUGCGAUGGAGACUGCAAGGCUUGAAUCUGGCAGAGGGGGGUAGAAUUCCACGUGUAGCAGUGAAAUGCGUAGAGAUGUGGAGGAACACCGAUGGCGAAGGCAGCCCCCUGGGUCAAGAUUGACGCUCAUGCACGAAAGCGUGGGGGAGCAAACAGGAUUAGAUACCCUGGUAGUCCACGCCCUAAACGAUGUCUACUAGUUGUCGGGUUUUAAUUAACUUGGUAACGCAGCUAACGCGUGAAGUAGACCGCCUGGGGAAUCGGUCGCAAGNUAAACUAAANGAAUUGACGG